rnacentral:sRNA from 1 species
AGGAACAGACAGAGAUCCUGCAAAACCCCUGCCUGCCCCAGGGGCUCCCAUCCACCUGGCAAAGACAGGGUCCGCAUCGAGGAGGACGUCGUGGUGACUGACAGCGGCAUGGAGCUGCUGACCUGCGUGCCCCGCACUGUGGAAGAGAUUGAAGCGUGCAUGGCAGGCUGUGACAAGGCCUUUACCCCCUUCUCUGGCCCCAAGUAGAGCCAGCCAGAAAUCCCAGCACACCUGGGGGCCCGGCCUUGCAACCUCUUUUCACGAUGGGCAGCCUGCUGGUCAGCACUCCAGUAGCGAGAGACGGCACCCAGAAUCAGAUCCCAGCGUCGGCAUUUGAUCAGACCAAACAGCGCUGUUUCCUGGGGAGGAAACUUUUUUAAUUACCCUUUUGCAGGCUCCCACCUUUAAUCUGUUUUAUACCUUGCUUAUUAAAUGAGCGACUUAAAAUGAUUGAAAAUAAUGCUGUUCUUUAGUAGCAACUAAAAUGUGUCUUGCUGUCAUUUAUAGUCCUUUUCCCAGGAAAGAAGCAUUUCUGAUACUUUCUGUCAAAAAUCAAUAUGCAGAAUGGCAUUUGCAAUAAAAGAGUUCCUAAAA